rnacentral:rRNA from 1 species
AUGGAAUGUACUUGCCGCUUUACGGCGGUCAGCUCAUCUACCACCGGUUUAAGGGCAGCUUCAGCGUUUUCAGCUCUUUUUAUUAAAGCGGCCUUCUCAGUGGCCCAAUCAGUCCGCUCCUUCUUGAAGCCCUCCUUCAGCUAUUCUGUGAUGCUCAAAGCGCUGGUUAAUUCUUCCUUUGCCUUGUCGGUUUCAGCUUGUUGGGUUUUCAAAGUUUCCUGCAGAUCAGUAAUCCGGUCCUCUUUGAUCCUCACUUCAGCCUGUAUAAAGACAGUGCUUGGCUUUAAGCAAACGGUACAAGAAUUUGAAGUAUCAACAACAUAA